UUGGAUGGUCACCAACUGCAACGGGAGUGUUUAAUCGCAUGCUUCAUGCAGUUGUGAUUUUACUAACUCUAACUUUAGUAUGUCUAUCAUGUAAGAUGACUUGACUAUAGUCACAGGGUGGAGUGUGGUGGCACGCUCCCCCUCACCUGAUCCUUUGCCCCUGGCUCUGCUCAAGUGAUAAGUACCAGUUACAGUCCUGAUAAGAUGCGUCUGGUCAUGAUGGCUGCAUCCGGCUCAAAGUGGAGUCCCAGGGAAAGAGAUAACCACACAAGAGCUGAGAGUGAAUUUAUGGAUGUGUGUCCUUGUCCUCCUAACCAGAGUGCUAAUUAAUAUCUGACUCAGGCCACGCUUGGCAGAAGCUAACAUCUGCAGCUGGCUCUAAAUGGCUUCUAAGAAGUUGGGACCUGACUCUCACGCUAUAUCAGAGUACGAGCCUCCCAACCCAUGGAAGAUAAACUGUGAAAGAAGCCGUGCAGCAGUGAUGGAAUGAUGACUGACUCGGUAUGCAACAAUCCAACGCCACACACACCACCUCUCCCACCCUGAAAGCCUGAUACAACAGACGGAGCCCAGAGUCAUGGACUGGGUGAACUCAAUGGACAUUUUAAUGGACAUUUUACAGGGAAGGUCCAUGAACUAAGGGAAUGAUGUCUGUGUAUUAUGUCAAAGGAUGGGAAGGGGAGGGGUGGUGGUUGGUACGGUUGUAUUGCAUCAUAUGGGACCUGGGCAUGGCAUAAAUGGUAUGGAAUAAGGGGAGGAGAAUGUGCUGGUUUUGGCUGAGAAGGGGUUAAUUCUCCUCACUGUGGGGGUCGGAUACCUUUCCAGCUUC